rnacentral:rRNA from 1 species
GGUAGCGAAAUUCCUUGUCAGGUAAGUUCUGACCCGCACGAAAGGUGUAACGAUUUGAGCACUGUCUCGACAACACGCCCGGUGAAAUUGAAGAACCAGUGAAGAUACUGGUUACCCGCAACAGGACGGAAAGACCCCAUGGAGCUUUACUGCAGCUUAAUAUUGGGAUUCGGUAUUGUAUGUACAGGAUAGGAGGGAGACUAAGAAGCUAGCACGCCAGUGUUGGUGGAGUCGAUGGUGGGAUACCUCUCUUAUAAUACUGAAUUUCUAACCUACUUCCGUGAUCCGGAAGAGGGACAUUGUUAGGCGGGCAGUUUGACUGGGGCGGUCGCCUCCGAAAGAGUAACGGAGGCGCUCAAAGGUCUUCUCAGAAUGAUUGGAAACCAUUCAAAGAGUGUAAAGGCAAAAGAAGGCUUGACUGCGAGAGUGACAACUCGAGCAGGUACGAAAGUAGGACUUAGUGAUCCGGUGGUAACAAGUGGGAGUGCCAUCGCUUAACGGAUAAAAGCUACCCUGGGGAUAACAGGCUUAUCUCCCCCAAGAGUUCACAUCGACGGGGAGGUUUGGCACCUCGAUGUCGGCUCAUCGCAUCCUGGGGCUGUAUUCGGUCCCAAGGGUUUGGCUGUUCGCCAAUUAAAGCGGUACGCGAGCUGGGUUCAGAACGUCGUGAGACAGUUCGGUCCCUAUCCGUUGUGGGCGUAGGAAAUUUGAUAGGAGCUGUCCUUAGUACGAGAGGACCGGGAUGGACGAACCUCUGGUGAAUCUGUUGGUAACCAAUGCCACAGCAGAAUAGCCAAGUUUGGAACGGAUAAACGCUGAAGGCAUCUAAGCGUGAAGCCAACCUAAAGACUAGAUUUCCCAUGCGAAAGCAGUAAGACUCCUUGUAGACGACAAGGUUGAUAGGCCAGAGAUGUAAGCACAGUAAUGUGUUCAGUUGACUGGUACUAAUAAGUCGAGGGCUUGACCAA